rnacentral:lncRNA from 1 species
AUCCCUCUGCUUCUGCAUCGGCUUCCAGUACUUGAGGAAACCCACCAUCUUAUGCACCACGAUCGUCGGCGAAUCCCCCAAUUUGUCGUUGAACACCAUGUCAUUCCGCGUCUUCCAAAACGCCCACAGCGCACCUGCACAUAGAUAAAGCAGAAACCUUCUUGAUCUAGCUGAUUUACCCUUCAACAAGCCGUCAAAAAUAAUACCACUGGAGUAGUGUCCCAGCCUAGCACAUUUCUAAGGAAAGUCCAAACGAAAUUCGCAACAGGACAUUGGAAGAGGAUGUGGUCUGUGGUUUCAGGGGUAUUGCAUAUUUUACAGUUCACCUCUCCCGACCAGUUGCGUUUUUUCAGUUGCACCGCUGGUUGAAUUUUAUCAUGAAACACCAUCCACAUGAAUAUUUGAAUCUUCAGGGGGACCCUACACCCCCAUACAUCCAUCAUCUGCUCAUCCCUGAUCCCACCAAAGGUUAGUUCUUUGUACAGGGAUUUUGUAGUAUAUUUCCCAAAUCUCUCCAACAUCCAUUUCACCUCAUCUCUUCCUUCUAUUAAGCACACCUCUUCUAGUCUUGUUUGCAACUCAUGCCACUCUUCCAGGUCCUCAGGAUAAAGUCACCUUCUGAAACCAAUCUCCAAAGCUCCACCACUCUGGAUGUCAGCCACAGAGACCUCAGGAUCAGAGCAAAUUUGAUAGAGUUUACCAAACAUUAAUUUCAGUGGGCACUCCCCCAUCCAUGGAUCCUUCCAGAAUCUAGUCUGCAAACCCCCUCUUACAGUUACAAGUCUGCCAAAACCAUACCACUCUUUGACUGAGGGCCUGUUUGGCAACAAGGUGUUAAAGUUUAACACCCGUCACAUCGGAUGUUUGGAUGCUAAUUUGGAGUAUUAAACAUAGGCUAAUUACAAAACUAAUUGCACAGAUGGAGUCUAAUUCGCGAGUCGAAUCUAUUAAGCCUAAUUAGUCCAUGAUUUGACAAUGUGGUGCUACAGUAACCAUUUGCUAAUGAUGGAUUAAUUAGGCUUAAUAGAUUCGUCUCGCGAAUUAGCACAGGGUUCUGCAAUUAGUUUUAUAAUUAGCUCAUGUUUAGUUUUUCUAAUUAGCAUCCGAACAUCCGAUAUUACACUAUUAAAGUUUAACAUCUUGUAUCCAAACACCCCCUGAUAGUAGCCCCCUCCAAAAUUGUGACCCUCACCUUCUUUAUUUGAAAAAUGCUUUUCCAGCCCAGAUAUUUCCUCCUAAGCAGUUCACAGCAAAUGCUAUCAUCUCAUCUUUCAAUAUACGUCUAUUAUAAUAACCUUUAUUUAAAGAAUAUUCGGAGAAUAUAUUAGGUAGCCAAGGGUAAAAAAAAAGGAAAAUCUUUCCUCCCUACUAUAAAACGGGAUCCAGGAUGAUCUCUCUUUAAUGAAAUAACAUCCGAUCCGUUACCAAUUCCUUUGGAGUCUGUCAGCAUCAUUUUUUCACAAAGAACUCUCCGUCCUACUAGAAGCGGAACCAACACGAAUACGAGCAGAUCCGCGUCACCUGUCCGCGAAUUUGCGACACAUAAAGCGGCCAGCACGGGCUCACGCCGCGCGCGCCCCUGUUCUGUCCGCACCUAGACGUAGUCAUUGCAGAGCGACACAUCUGACCUUCAGAUCAGGCGCACCAGCUAGCAUGGCAUCCACGGCGGCGGCGGCGGCGGCGGCGGCGAUGGUGCCGAAGGUGGCCCUGCGGUCGGGCAACGCGACGCCGAUGCCGGCGGUCGGCAUGGGCACGGCGUCGUUCCCCCUGGUGCCCGAGGCCACCAAGAACGCCGUGCUGGCGGCCAUCGAGGUGGGCUACCGCCACUUCGACACCGCCUCCAUGUACGGCACAGAGAAGCCGCUCGGCGAGGCCGUGGCGGAGGCGGUGCGGCGCGGGCUCCUCCAGUCCCGGGAGGAGCUGUUCGUCACCUCCAAGCUGUGGUGCACGCAGAACCACCCGGACCUCGUGCUCCCCUCCCUCCGGGAGACCCUCAAGUAAGAUUAUUCCCGGGCCGAUUCAUGUGAAAUUUCUGAAAACUAAUCUUUCCUCUUGCGUGCCGUGGGAGCAGGAACCUGCAGAUGGAGUACCUGGACCUGUACCUGAUCCACUGGCCGGUCUCCAUCAAGCCCAUGCCAAUAACUUCCCGGAACAAGAAGGAGGACGCCGUGCCGUUCGACGUCGAGGGCGUGUGGC